rnacentral:snRNA from 1 species
CUAACCUUUGUAAGAAUUUGCCCCGUGUUAAUGAUACAGAGAAGAUUAGCAUGGCCCCUGCACAAGGAUGACAUGCAGAUUGAUGAAGUGUUCCAUAUUUUU